rnacentral:rRNA from 1 species
GUAGUCAUAUGCUUGUCUCAAAGAUUAAGCCAUGCAUGUCUAAGUACAUACUUUAACAAAGUGAAACCGCGAAUGGCUCAUUAAAUCAGUUACGGUUCCUCGGAUAUUCCAUUUUACAUGGAUAACUGUGGUAAUUCUAGAGCUAAUACAUGAACAAGUGCUCCAACCAAUCAGUUUUUCGGAAUUGAUUGGAAGGAACGCAUUUAUUCGUACAAGACCAAUGGUCCAUUAAGCCAUGUUCAUGCUUCGGCCUGUUCAUGGUGGGCCUAGUGAUACUCUUUCGAGAGUAUUGCAAGACUCAAAAUGACUUUGAAUAACUGAGCAAAUCGUAUAGCCUCUGUGCUGACGAUGUAUCCCUCAAGCAACUGCCUUAUCAACUUUCGAUGGUAGAUUAUGCGCCUACCAUGGUUGCAACGGGUAACGGGGAAU